AAUAUGAAGGCCAGGCUGAAGACUUUGCCGGAUUAGCUGAGAGGUGGUGCAUGGCCGUCGUCAGUUCGUACUGUGAAGCAUCCUGUUAAGUCAGGCAACGAGCGAGACCCACGCCAACAGUUGCCAGCUCGUCCUCCGGGAUGGUGGGGACACUGUUGGGACCGCCUCUGCUAAAGAGGAGGAAGGGAAAUGGGGCAACGGUAGGUCAGCAUGCCCGAAUUAUCCGGGCUACACGCGGGCUACAAUGGUCAGGACAAUGGGCAUCAACACCGAAAGGGUGAAGGCAAUACUCUUAAACCUGUCCUUAGUUCGGAUUGUGGGCUGCAACUCGCCCACAUGAAGCUGGAAUCUGUAGUAAUCGCGUCUCAAAAUGGCGCGGUGAAUAUGUCCCUGCUCCCU
rnacentral:rRNA from 1 species